UUGAACGCUGGCGGCAUGCCUUACACAUGCAAGUCGAACGGUAGAGGAGCAAUCCUCGAGAGUGGCGAACGGGUGAGUAAUGUAUCGGAACGUGCCCAGUAGUGGGGGAUAGCCCGGCGAAAGCCGGAUUAAUACCGCAUGAGACCUGAGGGUGAAAGCGGGGGACUCGCAAGAGCCUCGCGCUACUGGAGCGGCCGAUAUCAGAUUAGGUAGUUGGUGGGGUAAAGGCCUACCAAGCCUGCGAUCUGUAGCUGGUCUGAGGGGACGACCAGCCACACUGGAACUGAGACACGGUCCAGACUCCUACGGGAGGCAGCAGUGGGGAAUUUUGGACAAUGGGGGCAACCCUGAUCCAGCAAUGCCGCGUGAGUGAAGAAGGCCUUCGGGUUGUAAAGCUCUUUUGUCAGGGAAGAAACGGUGAGUUCUAAUACAACUUGCUAAUGACGGUACCUGAAGAAUAAGCACCGGCUAACUACGU
rnacentral:rRNA from 1 species